CGUACCGGAUCAUGUGUCGGUUACCGUACAUCUCCCGUGCUCGACUUUUUCCUCCGUUCUCGUCUUCGCUCCGGUGUUGAUCGGACCGCCCCUCUCUCUCUCUCUCUCUCUCUCUCUCUCCCGAGGCUCGACGCGCUUCCAGAAGGUGAGGUCUGGCGUUUUAACCCGCUAUUAGUGCGACUGACGGAGGAAAGUUUGUGGUGGAAGCGGAGCGCGGAACUCGUUAGCCGGUUAGCCGUGCGUUCCCUGACGGGCCUGGACGCGAACGACACCGGCGGCGGCGAACGGAUGGCUCCCGGUGAUCCCGCUCCGGAAUCUGCUGAGACGAUGCUGAGACGCUCUCCGUCGGUGAGGUCCGUCCCGUCCGGGAAGUUCACAAACCCCCGGUAGGCCCGCUCUCGCUGCUUUAUUUUGAUUGGCUGAUGCCAUGCUAAUGGGCGGGGUUUGCUGGGAAAUGAUAACGCACUCACAGCUGCAGUGCUGAACCAGAAUCAUGAACCAGCAUGAAUCUAAAGAAAACACCCCCCAAAAUAAUAAUUAUAAUUUGCAUAAAGACUAUGAAGUCCAUUUUAGGAACAAUAAGAUAUUUUUCUGUUUUCUUGACACCCAAAGACUGCGAAUUAAAUAUGUUUUCUGAAUUUACUGUAUCUGACUUCUGUGUUCAUGUUCUCAUGUGAUUGUCAUUAUACAGUGUUUUCAGAAUAAAAAUCAGAGAAAUUACAAAAAAUAUCAAUUCAUAAUUAGUUUGUGAGGCAGAAAUGAGCAAUUUUCUGUGGACGUGUGGGACUUCAGAUUCAUUACGGGUGAGCAGCAAACAAGUUUAUUGAUAGAGCACAUUUUAGACACAAAGGUAAUUCAAAGUGAUGAUUUAAAAUUGUAUUACACUAAUGACAAACUAAUGAGAAGGAGAAACAAAAUAGUCGUGAUAAGUAGGGAAAAUUUCACAAAGCAUUGCAGAAAGAAAAGCUUCUUUAUUCAAAGUACUUUAUUAUUUGAUUUUGAGAUGAAAUACGAUUUACACAUGUGUAUUUAUGGUUUCAUUAUUGUUAUUGUGCUUAAUGGAGAUGCAUAUAAAUCAAACCUUCUAUAAAAACAUGAGAAGUAUAGAACAGUAAAAGAAAAGUGGGUGCUUCGGUCUCUCCGUAUCUCUUUAUUCUUCGAGGAGGCGUUUGCAGGCGAGUCAAUAUUGAGUUUGGCUGUGGACAGAAUUCCUGAGCUGGAGUCAAUCUGAUUGGAUGAGCAGGUGGGGGCGGGGCUCGGCGCUGCACUCCUAUUGGCUGUGACUGGUGACCAUCACCUUUACACUUGCUCCUCGCAGUGAGACAGAAACUCAGUGUGUGUGUGUGUGUGUGUGAGUGAGACUCUGUAGAGAAAGACAAACGACUGGCUGAGAUUAAGCUGAUGCAGG
rnacentral:lncRNA from 12 species